CGGGGGGCAGCAGUAAGGAAUAUUGGACAAUGGACGCAAGUCUGAUCCAGCCAUGCCGCGUGAAGGAUUAAGGCCCUCUGGGUUGUAAACUUCUUUUAUAGGGGACGAAAAAGGAGCUUUCUAGCUCAACUGACGGUACCCUAUGAAUAAGCACCGGCUAACUCCGUGCCAGCAGCCGCGGUAAUACGGAGGGUGCAAGCGUUAUCCGGAUUCACUGGGUUUAAAGGGUGCGUAGGCGGGCAAUUAAGUCAGUGGUGAAAUCUUGGGGCUCAACCCCGAAACUGCCAUUGAUACUAUUUGUCUUGAAUACUGUGGAGGUUAGCGGAAUAUGUCAUGUAGCGGUGAAAUGCUUAGAUAUGACAUAGAACACCGAUUGCGAAGGCAGCUGGCUACACAAGCAUUGACGCUGAGGCACGAAAGCGUGGGGAUCAAACAGGAUUAGAUACCCGAGU
rnacentral:rRNA from 1 species